AGAACAUUAGCUCGUGCUCCGCGUGCACAUGUUCCUGACACAAAAGAAGUCCCACUGCUUUUAAAUUGGCUUGUCUCUACCGCCACCUACAGCCUGGUGCCCAAAUGUCAAAAAUAAGUCCGCUCAUUUGAGCAGGAAAACGCUGAACACCAUCUUUGUUUUCUACCUGUCAACUGUCAGUUCAGGCUGCUCGCCGACUCCUCAUCACCACUUCAAGAUGGCGGCGGAAUUUCUCGCGUCACAGCAGCCAAUCCUGCGUCUACUUCUAAGAUGUCUAUGACGAAAAGGGUUCAAUUUAACUAUACACAUUUAAGUGGUACGAAUAAGAUGUUCAAAUUCAGUGCUAAUACGGAAAGUUAAAUUACCAAUAUUUUAAAUAUGAUUAUAGUGAAAACUCACAGUAAACUACUGUUGCUACAAUUACUUGAAAUGCAUGUAGAGCCAUCUAGCGAUCUGGAUUAUAUCACAACGAUUAGGGAUUAUGUACUCAAGUCUUUGAGGCUAAAGUAUGGUGGUUAAUUUGUGUCAUUACUACGCAAGCUUUUAUUUUUUCCUUUUUUUUUUGUUUGAAUUUUGUGACCUAAAAUUUUUUUGACAUGAAAAUACGUUGACAACUUCAUUGAAUAGACAUUUGUGAAGAAAAUUUGUGUUAAAAAUCAGUUAGAUGAAAUUCAGUGUGUAAAGAAAUUAGUGUAAAAAAAAUUAGUGUAAAAAAAGCAGUGUAUACAAAUUCAGUGUACAAAAAAAAUUCAGUGCAAAAUAAUGUAAAAAAAAUAAAAAACAAUAUUAAAAUUCUAUGUAAAAAAUAAAAAAUAAAUAAAAAAAAUCAGUGCAGAAAAAU